rnacentral:rRNA from 1 species
CCUACGGGAGGCAGCAGUGAGGAAUAUUGGUCAAUGGACGUGAGUCUGAACCAGCCAAGUCGCGUGAGGGAUGACUGCCCUAUGGGUUGUAAUCUUCUUUUAUAUGGGAAUAAAAUGUUCCACGUGUGGGAUUUUGUAUGUACCAUAUGAAUAAGGAUCGGCUAACUCCGUGCCAGCAGCCGCGGUAAUACGGAGGAUCCGAGCGUUAUCCGGAUUUAUUGGGUUUAAAGGGUGCGUAGGUGGAUUGUUAAGUCAGUUGUGAAAGUUUGCGGCUCAACCGUAAAAUUGCAGUUGAAACUGGCAGUCUUGAGUACAGUAGAGGUGGGCGGAAUUCGUGGUGUAGCGGUGAAAUGCGUAGAUAUCACGAAGAACUCCGAUUGCGAAGGCAGUUCACCGGACUGCAACUGACACUGAGGCUCGAAAGCGUGGGGAUCAAACAGGAUUAGAUACCCGAGUAGUC